GUUCAUAUUUUAAGAAUUUUUUCUUAUAGUUGAUACGUAGGAAGAGACAUCAUUAGGUAUCUACCUAUGAGAAGGAAAAAGAACACAUUUUAGGUACUUGAAGAGAAAAACAUUUCAUAAAAAAUAACAGAAAUUAAAAAUCCGAGGUGCGACGCGGAAAAAAAUUGAGUUAUUAGAAUUAUUAGCAGAUUUACCAACCACCAAUUCGAAAUCUCGAUUAACUUUGCUGACACACUGCGCUCCUACAGUAACUAGUCAAUUCUCAGCUUGAUGAAAGGGAUGGAUGUGUUAGUCUGAGUUGGUCCUGUGGCUCGGGCGAAGACAGCUUUCUUUUCCUCGGCC